AGUGAACGCUGGCGGUAGGCCUAACACAUGCAAGUCGAACGGCAGCACAGUAAGAGCUUGCUCUUACGGGUGGCGAGUGGCGGACGGGUGAGGAAUACAUCGGAAUCUACUUUUUCGUGGGGGAUAACGUAGGGAAACUUACGCUAAUACCGCAUACGACCUACGGUUGAAAGCAGGGGAUCUUCGGACCUUGCGCGAUUGAAUGAGCCGAUGUCGGAUUAGCUAGUUGGCGGGGUAAAGGCCCACCAAGGCGACGAUCCGUAGCUGGUCUGAGAGGAUGAUCAGCCACACUGGAACUGAGACACGGUCCAGACUCCUACGGGAGGCAGCAGUGGGGAAUAGUGGACAAUGGGCGCAAGCCUGAUCCAGCCAUACCGCGUGGGUGAAGAAGGCCUUCGGGUUGUAAAGCCCUUUUGUUGGGAAAGAAAAGCAGCAGGUUAAUACCCCGCUGUUCUGACGGUACCCAAAGAAUAAGCACCGGCUAACUUCGUG
rnacentral:rRNA from 1 species